CCAUGUGUAGCACAGUGGCCUGAGCAUUGGACUACAACUCAGGAGACAAGGGUUCAAAUCCCUGCUCAGCA